UCCGUAGGUGAACCUGCGGAAGGA
rnacentral:ncRNA from 22 species